rnacentral:lncRNA from 1 species
AUCUUGCUGGAGAGACCUGUGUUCCUGAGGCCUUCUAAAGAAGUUCUGACUUCAGAGAAGCAAACAAGAAAACUGUCUUAAUUAAUCCAAUAUAUUUUGUUGAGCAACUGUUUACGUCUACUAGCCUUCUCAGCAGUGUAUAUAUGUCAAAGUAUUUGCCCUUUUGUGUAGGGGCAUGGUACUUAAUUAAGGCAACAUAAUGCAAAAAUAAUUUUCUGGAAUUACAAACGUUUUUUCUAUAUUCUCAGUGCUUCCAUUCAUCUCCUGUCCCUAAAGCAUAUUCUUUUUUUUUUUUUUUUAAUUUACAUCCAUUCCACUGUGAAGUAAUAGAGGCAACUUUCCAGAAGUCUUUUAGAUUAUUUUGGCACUGCUUAUUAGUGAUAAUUUCUCCAUCAGGUCCCUUUCGUCUGUCUUGCAUCAGCAAUCAUUUUUAGCACCUGACUUUUACUGGGCACUUGGCCUGAAACUUCUUCUGGUUGUUUUCAGUGACCUGAAUUUCAAAACCUGAAGGUAGUGGAAGCUGUGGUGCUAAGCAGCUAUGGAAAACGAAGACAAAAUUAGCUAACAUGAAUAUAGUCUACUUAGACUUUUGUCUGCAAAAACAAUUUCAAUUUUGGUUCCAAAAACUCUGUAGUGACUUGCCUUUCUCACCAAGCUCUAUUUUGUAGUGCACAUUCCAAGCAAGGCACCAGCACACCUGUCAAUACUCUUCUGCUCUUUCAAGGUCGCUGGCAGUCCAGUAACUUGUGAUAUUAGACCCUCUCUAAUAGAUUCAUAUGUAGUUAAUUAUGAAGGGCUGUUUUCCUUGACGACAGCCAGAAUUUAAAGCUUUCUAAAAGUCACUUUUCUAUAUGUAUCUGAAUUCUCUGCUCCCAAAAGAUGAGGGUUGUGCAGUUUGCUGCUCAUCCAUACUGCAGAUGGUAGCAGUGCCCAUUUCUAUAGAACCAACUUACAUAAACCCUGAUGUGGAGAAUCAAUCCUUUGGAAUUAAAGGUUAAUUAAAGGUCUCACGCUUUUGAAUUCUACUUUUUCUAACAACAGUGCUGAUUUAGUUUCAUUGAGAAUUCAAAUAAAGCCAACUUGCCAGC